GAAUGAUAAAUGAAAAGCUUCUUGCAUGCUGGAUGCACAGAACAGGUGCAGUUGGUGCCCUGGACUACUGUUUACUCUGCUAGGCUCUUAUUGUACAGGAAGUCAUCUCGAAGUUCCCUCCAAGUUUCAUCCUGGGGAAUCCUGAUAUGGCAGCUCUGACCCCUCUCCCAAAGGAUAUGGGGAAGUGGCCAUUCAGAUUGCUUCAAAAUUGAGCAGCCCCUGAGACCACCUGAUCUUCGAUGAGCACCUUCAUAUAUUUUACUGAUUCAUCCAAAAGAUCUGAGAGUUAGGAGUCGCAGGUUCAAGUUCUUUUGCUGUCGAGGAGCUUGAAAAUAGGUCGAGAAGAGGGCCAUCCCUCCCGGG